rnacentral:rRNA from 1 species
CCCGACGACCAUAGUGCGGUUGUUCCACCUGACUCCAUCCCGAACUCAGAAGUGAAAAGCCGUAACGCCGAUGGUAGUGUAGUGUUUCGCUAUGUGAGAGUAGGACAUCGUCGGGU